GCCCUUAUAGCUCAGUGGCAGAGCGCUUCACUGUGAGUUAUUAUUAAUCCGAUCAAAUGUUUUAUCUUGUCCUAACAACCGCCUCAGUGUAUCCAUAUGACAUGAAGAGGUCCGUGGUUCAAUCCCGCGUGGGGGCA